rnacentral:rRNA from 1 species
GCAAGUCGAACGCGAAAGCACCUUCGGGCGUGAGUAGAGUGGCGGACGGGUGAGUAAUACUUGGGAAUCUGCCUAGUAGUGGGGGAUAACUCGGGGAAACUCGAGCUAAUACCGCAUACGCCCUACGGGGAAAGAUUUAUCGCUAUUAGAUGAGCCCAAGUCAGAUCAGCUAGUUGGUAGGGUAAUGGCCUACCAAGGCGACGAUCUGUAGCGGGUCUGAGAGGACGAAC